rnacentral:rRNA from 1 species
UACGUAGGGUGCAAGCGUUGUCCGGAAUUAUUGGGCGUAAAGAGCUCGUAGGCGGUCUGUCGCGUCGAUCGUGAAAACUUGGGGCUUAACCCUGAGCUUGCGGUCGAUACGGGCAUGACUGGAGUUCGGCAGGGGAGACUGGAAUUCCUGGUGGUAGCGGUGAAAUGCGCAGAUAUCAGGAGGAACACCGGUGGCGAAGGCGGGUCUCUGGGCCGAUACUGACGCUGAGGAGCGAAAGCGUGGGGAGCGAACAGG